GAUGAACGCUGGCGGCGUGCUUAACACAUGCAAGUCGAACGGGAAAUAUUUCAUUGAGACUUCGGUGGAUUUGAUUUAUUUCUAGUGGCGGACGGGUGAGUAACGCGUGGGUAACCUGCCUUAUACAGGGGGAUAACAGUCAGAAAUGGCUGCUAAUACCGCAUAAGCGCACAGAGCUGCAUGGCUCAGUGUGAAAAACUCCGGUGGUAUAAGAUGGACCCGCGUUGGAUUAGCUAGUUGGUGGGGUAACGGCCCACCAAGGCGACGAUCCAUAGCCGGCCUGAGAGGGUGAACGGCCACAUUGGGACUGAGACACGGCCCAGACUCCUACGGGAGGCAGCAGUGGGGAAUAUUGCACAAUGGGGGAAACCCUGAUGCAGCGACGCCGCGUGAAGGAAGAAGUAUCUCGGUAUGUAAACUUCUAUCAGCAGGGAUGAUAGUGACGGUACCUGACUAAGAAGCCCCGGCUAACUACGUG
rnacentral:rRNA from 1 species